rnacentral:tRNA from 1 species
CGCGGGGUGGAGCAGUUCGGACAACUCGGGGCGUUCAUGCCGCCUAGGUCGCCGGUUCAACUCCGGCUCCCGCAGCCA